rnacentral:tRNA from 1 species
GGGUCGUUAGCUCAGUUGGUAAGCAACGGCCCGUAGGGCGAGACGAAGUCGAGUCAUCCUGCACGACCCACCA